GAAAUUCCAUUUUACUUUCCUCAUAUACAUUACUUUACCAUUUAUUUCAAUUAUUUUCAUAAUCACACAUUCUUAAAUCAUAAUCUCAUCACUCAAACCCUUCAAAACUUCAACCUUACUUAUUCUUUUUUUCCACUCAUCACUCAACACUUUCAUUGCAUUGCUUUUCAUGUUCCAAACUCAAAACCCCAAAAAUCCAUUUUCCUCAUUUUCAUUUCAUCAAACACUUGGUACCCAUUCUACUUUCAUCCAAGUUUCAGUCUUUCUCAUUGGAGUGGCUUGAAUUGUCGCACAACAUCAGAUCCGUUUACGUUUACAUUUUUCUUGUGGAACAAAUAA